UACGAAGGACCCGAGCGUUAUCCGGAUUUAUUGGGUUUAAAGGGUGCGUAGGCGGAAUAGUAAGUCAGUGGUGAAAGCCUGUUGCUUAACAACAGAACUGCCAUCGAUACUGCUAAUCUUGAGUACAUAUGAUGUGGGCGGAAUGUGCCAUGCAGCGGUGAAAUGCUUAGAUAUGACAUAGAACACCAAUUGCGAAGGCAGCUGGCUACACAAAUAUUGACACUGAGGCACGAAAGCGUGGGGAUCAAACAGG
rnacentral:rRNA from 1 species